rnacentral:rRNA from 1 species
UGCGUAGGCGGUUGGGUAAGUCAGAGGUGAAAUUCCGGGGCUCAACCUCGGAACUGCCUUUGAUACUGCCUGACUAGAGUACUGGAGAGGAGACGGGAAUUCACGGUGUAGCAGUGAAAUGCGUAGAUAUCGUGAGGAAGACCAGUGGCGAAGGCGAGUCUCUGGACAGUUACUGACGCUGAGGCACGAAGGCUAGGGGAGCAAACG